CCUACGGGAGGCAGCAGUGGGGGAUAUUGCACAAUGGAGGGAACUCUGAUGCAGCGACGCCGCGUGAGGGAAGAAGGUUUUCGGAUCGUAAACCUCUGUCAUCGGUGACGAAACGAGACGGUAGUCGAGGAGGAAGCCACGGCCAACUACGGGCCAGAAGCGGCGGUAAUACGUAGGUGGCAAGCGUUGUCCGGAAUUACGGGGUGAAAAGGGAGGGUAGGCGGGAAAGCAGACUGGAGGGUUAGGGUACGGGCUCAACCUGUACAAGCGUUCAGAAAUGUUUGUCUUGAGUGGAGUAGAGGUAGGCGGAAUUCCUGGUGUAGCGGUGAAAUGCGUAGAUAUUAGGAGGAACACCAGUGGCGAAGGCGGCUUACUGGACUUUAACUGACGCUGAGGCUCGAAAGCGUGGGUAGCAAACAGGAUUAGAUACCCGGGUAGUC
rnacentral:rRNA from 1 species